GAUGAACGCUAGCGGGAGGCCUAACACAUGCAAGCUGAGCGGUAGAGUUUCUUCGGAGACUUGAGAGCGGCGUACGGGUGCGGAACACGUGUGCAACCUGCCUUUAUCAGGGGGAUAGCCUUUCGAAAGGAAGAUUAAUACCCCAUAAUAUAUAGAGUGGCAUCACUUUAUAUUGAAAACUGAGGUGGAUAAAGAUGGGCACGCGCAAGAUUAGAUAGUUGGUGAGGUAACGGCUCACCAAGUCGAUGAUCUUUAGGGGGCCUGAGAGGGUGAUCCCCCACACUGGUACUGAGACACGGACCAGACUCCUACGGGAGGCAGCAGUGAGGAAUAUUGGACAAUGGGUUAGCGCCUGAUCCAGCCAUCCCGCGUGAAGGACGACGGCCCUAUGGGUUGUAAACUUCUUUUGUACAGGGAUAAACCUAUUUACGUGUAAAUAGCUGAAGGUACUGUACGAAUAAGCACCGGCUAACUCCGUGCCAGCCGCCGCGGUAA
rnacentral:rRNA from 1 species